rnacentral:rRNA from 1 species
UGAAAAGCCCGCUCGCCGGAAGACCAAGGGUUCCUGUCCAACGUUAAUCGGGGCAGGGUGAGUCGACCCCUAAGGCGAGGCCGAAAGGCGUAGUCGAUGGGAAACGAGUUAAUAUUCCCGUACUUGGUGUUACUGCGAAGGGGGGACGGAGAAGGCUAUGUUGGCCGGGCGACGGUUGUCCCGGUUUAAGCGUGUAGGUGUGUGUUCCAGGUA